GGCUUCGUAAUUCAGUGGUAGAAUGCCUGCUUUACAUGUUACGCAAAUCGCAGUAUGCCGUGGGUUCGAACCCCACCGAGGUCA
rfam:Puccinia sorghi strain RO10H11247 Scaffold_779, whole genome shotgun sequence.